GACUAAGUGGCUACUAAAAAAGACUGAACAUACCCCAUUUUCAAUACCUUAGGUUGUCUUCUUUUGCAAAUGGUAUGCCAUCAUGGGGCUAAUUCUCAUUUCUGGGUUACCAUACGCUCUCAAAGUCAACAUAACCUGUCUGGCAAAUUUCAAUGUGAAAAAAAAAUCGAGCCUUAUAUUUCACCCUGUAACUUUCAAAAACACUAUACAUUGUUUCCUUAACUCGGG